UAACAGAAAGGAGAGUGAAUCUGGUGGUCGUAAAAGAGGAGAAGAAGAAUGAAAUUUACAAGUGAGCCCAGGAUAAACAUGAGCAUAGAAUUACAGGGAAAGGAUAAUCUGUGAAGGAGAAACAGGAAGAUAAGCAGGAAUAAGGUAUUUAAAGAUCAAAAUAUUGAGAACUCUCAAUGAAUCUUCCUCAGGAAUUACCUUAUUUACACCACACAGGGAUAUAUGCAGCAACCGUAUCAAGGCUUAUGGUCGUGAAGAUAAAAAACAGAACUAACGCAGAAAAUUCCCACAGAUGAACCAUAGUCCUUGCCAUGGAAUGAGCCUCCUACUGUGUCAACUUUGAUGAAGAGUGGGCACAGAAGCACAAUGUAUAUUUUCCUUUGAGAUGAUUUGGGAAGUUCAAAUCCAGUUGUCACAGAACUUUGUAUUAUUUCUACCAGUUUUUGUCUUUAUGACACUGGAGAAAUCAAUUUCCUCAUUGUUUUAUCUGCCUUGCUGAGUUGUAAGUGUAAAUUGGUUAAUAAACAUUAGUGGCUAUAA